rnacentral:tRNA from 1 species
UCCAGGGUAGCCUAGUGGACAUGGCAUCUGCCCGGUAAGCGGAACACUGUGUGUUCGAUUCCCAUCCUUGGAC